CCUGGUCUCUCCCGUGACAGAUGGAGAUUAUGGGGAUUACAAUGCAAGAUGAGAUUUUUGGGUGGGGACAAAGGCAAACCAUACUGGACAAGGGUGAGUCCAAUUCUAACACAAUAUAAUCGGGGAGUAAAAUCACUCUUACUUAAAUCAGUGGUGAGGGACUUCCUGAUUUGUUUUUGUUUUGGUUCCAGUAGAAUAUAAAUCAGUGCCUCCUUACCUCACCCUCUUUCUCCACUUUCCCUAACUGAAGUGGUUUGGAUGCCGCUUAUCUGCCUAAGUCAGGAAGUGUUUAUUUGCCUAAGCCAGGAAUUCACCCUGGCAGGGUGAAUAAAAAGCCGCUUGUCUCACCACUCAAGACUUCCUGAGCAUAGGCAGCCACCGGGCACAUGGCUGAUUUCCAUCGGCGGCCAUCCCAGGAGCCCCGGGCAGGAGCACCGCAUGCUGGCCUCCCUCCCUCACAGGCCUGGUGCACCCCAGCAGACCUCGCUGCCAGCAGUGACAACAUGCGUUACCUUCAUGUCCACUGACGGGUCCCCCUGCAGCAGCGCCCACUCAUACUGGACGAUGGCGUGGUCAUCUGUGCUCUCGCGGCCGUCUAGAACCACCCCGUCUGUGGGCAGAUGCAGAACCACAUCCUGCCCAGCCUUGCUAAGUGGAGGCGCAUCCUUUUCUAAGAAAGAAAAUAAAUAAUUCAUAAAAGAUGA